rnacentral:rRNA from 1 species
UUGAAGUCUUUUAUGACUGAUUGGCGGACGGGUGAGUAACGCGUGGGUAACCUGCCUCAUACAGGGGGAUAGCAGCUGGAAACGGCUGGUAAUACCGCAUAAGCGCACGGUAUCGCAUGAUACAGUGUGAAAAACUCCGGUGGUAUGAGAUGGACCCGCGUCUGAUUAGCUAGUUGGUGAGGUAACGGCCCACCAAGGCGACGAUCAGUAGCCGACCUGAGAGGGUGACCAGCCACAUUGGGACUGAGACACGGCCCAGACUCCUACGGGAGGCAGCAGUGGGGAAUAUUGCACAAUGGAGGAAACUCUGAUGCAGCGACGCCGCGUGAGUGAAGAAGUAGUUCGCUAUGUAAAGCUCUAUCAGCAGGGAAGAUAGUGACGGUACCUGACUAAGAAGCUCCGGCUAAAUACGUGCCAGCAGCCGCGGUAAUACGUAUGGAGCAAGCGUUAUCCGGAUUUACUGGGUGUAAAGGGAGUGUAGGUGGCCAGGCAAGUCAGAAGUGAAAGCCCGGGGCUCAACCCCGGGACUGCUUUUGAAACUGCAGGGCUAGAGUGCAGGAGGGGCAAGUGGAAUUCCUAGUGUAGCGGUGAAAUGCGUAGAUAUUAGGAGGAACACCAGUGGCGAAGGCGGCUUGCUGGACUGUAACUGACACUGAGGCUCGAAAGCGUGGGGAGCAAACAGGAUUAGAUACCCUGGUAGUCCACGCCGUAAACGAUGACUGCUAGGUG